UAGGGAAUCUUCGGCAAUGGACGAAAGUCUGACCGAGCAACGCCGCGUGAGUGAAGAAGGUUUUCGGAUCGUAAAACUCUGUUGUUAGAGAAGAACAAGGACGUUAGUAACUGAACGUCCCCUGACGGUAUCUAACCAGAAAGCCACGGCUAACUACGUGCCAGCAGCCGCGGUAAUACGUAGGUGGCAAGCGUUGUCCGGAUUUAUUGGGCGUAAAGCGAGCGCAGGCGGUUUCUUAAGUCUGAUGUGAAAGCCCCCGGCUCAACCGGGGAGGGUCAUUGGAAACUGGGAGACUUGAGUGCAGAAGAGGAGAGUGGAAUUCCAUGUGUAGCGGUGAAAUGCGUAGAUAUAUGGAGGAACACCAGUGGCGAAGGCGGCUCUCUGGUCUGUAACUGACACUGAGGAUCGAAAGCGUGGGGAGCAAACAGG
rnacentral:rRNA from 1 species